rnacentral:piRNA from 1 species
UUCAAGCUCCAAAUUCAUUUC